rnacentral:rRNA from 1 species
UACGGGGGGGGUAAGCGUUGUUCGGAAUUACUGGGCGUAAAGGGCUCGUAGGCGGCCAACUAAGUCGGACGUGAAAUCCCUCAGCUUAACUGGGGAACUGCGUCCGAUACUGGAUGGCUUGGAUUUGGGAGAGGGAUGCGGAAUUCCAGGUGUAGCGGUGAAAUGCGUAGAUAUCUGGAGGAACACCGGUGGCGAAGGCGGCAUCCUGGACCAAUUCUGACGCUGAGUGAGCGAAAGCCAGGGGAGCAAACGGG